UCUCUGUUUUGGUUACAGCUGUUCUGCUGGGAGGGUGUUACUGCCACGUGGAUGAGAACGGCUGCAGCUCCUGUCAAGUUACAUAAUGAUCAUGGUUUACAUCACUUUGUCGUGGGCGAGCAGGUCCUCGGAUACGCGCGCACGUGCAGAGGCUGGGAGAGCAGAGUGCCGGAGUGUCACGGAGUGUUAAUUUCCAGAUUACUCCUACUUUCUCAGCCAGCUCAUGGUGCUGGAGACUCAUCCAUAGACUUGAUUCAAUGUGUUGGGGUUCUGCAAUGGUGUUAUCAUGUGAACAGAGAGCAGGUGCUGUCUGAGAAGACUUCCUGGAGGAACUGAACUCUGAUCAGGGCUGGAGACACACCAAAGGGAAGAGAGCUAGCAGUUUGUUAAAUGGCCCUGACAGCACGUCUCACAUCAACCAUUCCUCCGAGGCUGGAAUUCGCUGUGGCAGUCACGGGAGACGGUCAGAUUGAUGAAUAGCUUGCAAACAUUUUUGAAGCGGAAAUCUUUUUCGAAAGGAAAUGAAAAUCUUACCUGAAACUCCAGUGGAAGAUAUAGAUGAGAGGGAAGAACACAUUCCCUGUUCAGUCAGGUCCAUGUCAAUAUUUGUGGUGCAUCUAAAGCACCUCUCUGGAGCCUCAGGAGUAUGUAGUACUCAUUUGGAAAUCUAUUGGACCAGAGAGGCUUAGUGAUUGACCAAGGUCACACAGCAAGUUUGUAAUUGAGUUGGGUCUGUAAGCUGGUUUUUCUAAGCCUAGAUAAUUGAGCCAUAUGUCUGCUUCUGUCAAGAGGUAUAUAUGUUUUUUCCCAUUGUCUAGAAUCAGUGAUUAAGGUCCACAGCUAGAUAGGAGGUAAUACAUCCCACUUUUUAUUUAAAAUUUUUUUUCUAUUUUACUUUAUUUUUUUCUUUUCAGGGCCACACCUGCAGCAUA
rnacentral:lncRNA from 1 species